rnacentral:piRNA from 1 species
UUAAUGUUCCAAAGUUGUUUU